UUGCUGGUGGUUAAAGAGAAGUGGAAAUACCCAGUCCCAUUCCGAACCUGGUAGUCAAGCACUUCAUCGCCGAUAAUACUGCAGGGUCCCCUUGUGGAAACGUAGGUCGCUGCCAGCUC
rnacentral:rRNA from 1 species